rnacentral:rRNA from 1 species
GACGAACCGUGCGAACGUUGUUCGGAAUCACUGGGCUUAAAGGGCGCGUAGGCGGGUGUGCAAGUCUGUGGUGAAAGCCUCCAGCUUAACUGGAGAAGUGCCAUGGAUACUGCACAUCUUGAGGAGGGUAGGGGCAUCUGGAACUGCGAGUGUAGAGGUGAAAUUCGUAGAUAUUCGCAAGAACACCAGUGGCGAAGGCGGCUCACUGGCCCGAUACUGACGCUGAGGCACGAAAGCGUGGGGAGCAAACAGG